rnacentral:pre_miRNA from 1 species
AUCACCUUGGCAUCUUGUUGAAAUGCAAAUUUUGAUUCAGUAGGUCUACAACUGUGCCUGAGAUUCUGCAUUUCUGUCAAGCUCCCAAGUGAUGCCAA